GCCGAAGUGGCGGAAUAGGCAGACGCGCUGCGUUCAGGGCGCAGUUCCCAUUUCGGGAGUGUGGGUUCGACUCCCACCUUCGGCACCA
rnacentral:tRNA from 1 species